UACGUAGGGGGCUAGCGUUGCUCGGAAUUACUGGGCGUAAAGGGCGCGUAGGCGGAUUGUCUCGUUGGGGGUGAAAGCCCGGGGCUCAACCUCGGAAUUGCCUUCAAUACUGGCUAUCUUGAGUACGGGAGAGGUGUGUGGAACUCCGAGUGUAGAGGUGAAAUUCGUAGAUAUUCGGAAGAACACCAGUGGCGAAGGCGGCUCACUGGCCCGGUACUGACGCUGAGGUGCGAAAGCGUGGGGAGCAAACAGG
rnacentral:rRNA from 1 species